ACCACCUCCCGGCUGCGGACGCCUGCGAGCAGGUUGUUGUUUUUAAGAGAGGCGUCACUGUGCUCGGAGCUGUGACCGCCGCCACCGCGACAGUCAGCGCAGUCGGGCGGAGGUGGCACUGCUCGUUCAGACCUGAAAAAUGUCUGAAAAUUCCAGUGACAGUGAUUCAUCUUGUGGUUGGACUGUCAUCAAUCAUGAGGGGUCUGAUAUAGAGAUGGUGAAUUCUGAACAUGGCACAGCCAGUGACAGCUGUGAGCUCGCUCCAGAAUGCACAUCUUUAGAGCAAGAGGAGCUACAAGUAUUGCAAUCAGAAGAAGGAGAGAGUAGCCAAAAUGGCACAGUGUUAAUGGGAGAAACUGCUUAUCCAGCUUUGGAGGAAACGAAGUCGGCACUUGAGAGAGAAGAAAAGUCGUCGGAAGACCAUGUCUAUUUUGGAACUGUCAGUGAUGAUUCUGAUAUUGUUACCCUUGAGCCACCUAAGUUAGAAGAAAUGGGAAAUCAGGAAGCUAUAAUUGUUGAAGAAGCGCAGAGUCCAGAAGACUUUAACAUGGGCUCUUCUUCUAGCAGCCAGUAUACAUUCUGUCAGCCAGAAACUGUAUUUUCAUCCCAGCCUAGUGACGACGAAUCAAGUAGCGAUGAGACCAGUCAUCAGCCUAGUCCUGCCUUUAGACGACGCCGUGUUAGGAAGAAGACUGUUUCUAGUUCUGACUCUGAAGAACGGCUACUCCCCGAACAAGAAACCGAACCCUCUAAGGAGUUGCAUAAACGCCAGUUCAGCAGUGGUCUCAAUAAAUGUGUUAUACUUGCUCUGGUGAUUGCAAUCAGCAUGGGAUUUGGACAUUUCUAUGGCACAAUUCAGAUUCAGAAGCGUCAACAGUUAGUCAGAAAGAUACAUGAAGAUGAAUUGAAUGAUAUGAAGGAUUAUCUUUCCCAAUGUCAACAGGAGCAAGAAUCUUUUAUAGAUUAUAAGUCAUUGAAGGAAAACCUUGCAAGAUGUUGGGCCCUUACUGAAGAAGAGAAGGUGGCCUUUGAAACUCAGAAAAAGAACCUUGAUACAGAAAAUCAGUAUUUAAGAAUAUCUCUGGAGAAGGAAGAAGAAGCCUUAUCUUCAUUACAGGAAGAGUUAAGGAAACUAAGAGAGCAGAUUAGGCUAUUGGAAGAUAAAGGGACAGGUACUGAAUUAGUUACAGAAAAUCAGAAACUUAAGCAGCAUCUGGAAGAAGAAAAGCUGAAGACACACAGCUUCCUUAAUCAAAGGGAGACUCUUUUGGCAGAAGCAAAGAUGCUAAGGAAAGAACUGGAGAGAGAACGACUGAUAACCAUGGCUUUAAAGGUGGAACUCCAGCAGUUAAGCUCUAGUGAAUCAUAUGGCAACCCAGACUCUCCGAAUGUAUUGACUGAAAAAAAGGAAAUAGAAAUCUUACGGGAAAGACUCACUGAGCUGGAGCAGAAGCUAAACUUUGAACAGCAGCGUUCUGAUUUGUGGGAAAGGCUGUAUAUUGAGGCAAAAGAUCAAAAUGUAAAACAAGAAACUGAUGGAAAAAAGAAAGGGAGCAGAGGAAACCACAGGGCUAAAAAUAAGUCAAAGGAAACAUUUUUGGGUUCAGUUAAGGAAACAUUUGAUGCCAUGAAGAAUUCUACCAAGGAGUUUGUGAGACAUCAUAAAGAAAAAAUUAAACAAGCUAAAGAAGCUGUGAAAGAGAAUCUGAAAAAGUUUUCAGAUUCAGUUAAAUCCACUUUCAGGCAUUUCAAAGAUACCACCAAGAAUAUCUUUGAUGAAAAGGGCAAUAAAAGAUUUGGUGCAACAAAAGAAGCAGCUAAAAAACCGACAGUCUUUAGUGAAUAUUUACACCCACAGUAUAAGUCACGUACACAAAACCAGAAUAAUAGAGGCCCUACUAUGCAAAGAGAGGGAAGGAAAGAAAAGCCAAUUCACUUUGAAGAAUUUAGAAAAAAUACAAAAUCACAGAAAUGCAGUUCUGAGCAUGACUGUAGUGCAAAUUUUGAUUCUUUCAGAAAGUCUUGUUCUGGUGUAUUUGAAUGUGCUCAACAGGAAUCCAUUAACCUUUUUAAUAUGAAAGUGUUGAAUCCUGUAAGGAUAGAUGAAUUUAGACAGUUAAUUGAAAGGUAUUUAUUAGAAAAACUGGAUAGUUUUCAUCACUGGAAAGAACUUGAUCAGUUCAUCAAUAAGUUUUUCCUAAAUGGUGUCUUUAUACAUGAUCAGAAGCUCUUCACAGACUUUGUUAAUGAUGUUAAAGAUUAUCUUAAAGACAUGAAGGAAUAUCAAGUAGAUAAUGAUGGAGUGUUUGAGAAGUUGGAUGGAUAUAUAUAUAGACACUUCUUUGGUCACACUCUUUCCCCUCCAUAUGGACCCAGGUCGGUUUACAUAGCACCAUGUUAUUAUAAUAGUUUUUAGCAUUUAUAGAUUGGGUAGCAUUUUUAUCAUUUUAACAUCUUGGAAUGUUACUAUCCAUAAAGUACUUUUUGUAAAGAAAAAAAAGUGUUAUUUGUAAAAGUACUUUAUUGCUAGAGAAUUUAGAAUAAAUUAAAUGGAAAGAUAAAAUUUUAAUAGCUAUUACAAACUGAAAAUUUCAUAUGAUCACUUUGACUCGAGCAAAUGGUUUAAUUUCUGCCUUAAAAAUAUGUUAAGGAAAAAAGAUCCUAUUUUAGCCUAUCUUGUUUCUUUUCAUUAUAGUCUAUAUGAAAAGGUAAUUAAGUGAAAUUAUUUUCCUUUAAUCUUUUAUUUUUUUACUCACUUUGGGUGAGUAAAUUCAGAUUUCACUCUGAAAUUGGAAGAACUUGUGUGUAACAGUUUGCAUUGACCCACUUACUUAUCUAAUUCCACUUACCAACUAAAUUAUGAUACUUAAUAGUUAGUACAAAAUUAUCUUUGAUAAAGGUAGAGGCAAACUUAGCAAGCUACAGGUUAUAAUAUGUGUGGCUUAUAUGCAUAAUUUCUAAAUAAAACUAUUCAUUGCUUAUUAGUUUUAUAUUCUGUAACCUGAAACUCACCUAAUCUUCAAAUGUUAGCUUUAUUUUUUUAUCUUUAAGAUAGUUAUAUAUUAUCUUCCUGAAUAAAUGUAAUGUGUCUAUAAAAUAAUGAGACUGAUUCUGGUAUCUUUAGUCAUUAAAUAUCUAGUGCCUCAAUGAGCAAAACAGUGUGAGGCUGCCCUGAUGAAACAUGAAAAACUCUUGCCAUCAAGGAGCUCACAAGCUUUUGGAGAGUUUGGUAAAUAUAAGAAAUGAAGUGAGGAAUGGAGAUAUUGUAUGUGGUGGCCUCAACCUGGAGAUGUUUUGGGAGGCUUCAUGAGUGAGGUGGUCUUUGAACUGAACUUCUUUAAACUGGUGUUUGAAGGAGAAAUGAGAAUUUGUCAAGCAGAUAGAGUAGGACAUUCUAUUCAAAGAGAACUUCAUUUGCACACAUUUGGAGAUGUGAAGACAUGUCCUUUUAAGGAGGCAAGGUAGUGCUGGGGUAUGAAAAGAUACAGAUCUUUUGUGAAGAUCAGAAGGACUUCAUUUUAUGCUGAAAGACUUGUUGCAUUUUGGAUCAUUGGCAAUAGCCUGGAGGAUUAGUUGGAAAGAGUGAAGCUGGUAGGUGGUCUUUGAAAAAGUACAGACCUGAGCUGAUGAUUAACUAGGUUAAUAGUAUGAGUGGGAGAGAGAUUUGAAUAAUAUAUAAGAAGAAAAAUUGGUGGUAUUUCUUGUGAAAGAGAAGUAGAAAAUAACAUUUCUUCCAGAUUUCUGGGUUGGAUCACUAGUUGGAUAGUGGCAUCACUAAGGUAAGGGAUGCGAGGGCAUUUUGAGUAAGGGGAAUUGGAAUUGAGAAUUGGGCUUGGAGGUAACUAUUGACAGUCACAUGGAAAAAAUUAGUUGGCCAUUAGAUACAUGACUCUAGUCCAAAUUCUGUGUGCAUAUAGUCUAGGCUGGGGGUGUUUAUCAGAAUCUUGGGGAACACUAAUACGUAAGGGGUUGUGGAGAAUGAAGGCUGAGAAGAAGACCAUAGAAUAGCAUCAUGAAAAUUGAAAGAUCAUCUCAAGUGAAAGGAAUAUACAAACGUGUGUCAAAUGCUUUAAACAUUAAACAAAAGAGACUGGAUUUCUUGGUUGGGGAAUUGGGUGGCCAUGAAUGGCAUUAUGGACUGUUUUAGUGAGGUAGUGAAGAAGCCUUAUUCUUUAGUGAAGAAGCCUGAUUAUGGAGUUUGAGGAAAACAGUAAAUACAGACCUUUGUUUAUGAACCUUAGCUGUGGCUGUAAAGAGGAAAAAAAAAAAAAAAAAGACUUUCUUUUGUUUGUAAGAGAUGUAUAAAUAUUCCUGCUGAGGGGUGAAGCCAAUGGGGAGGGAUUGGUUUUGCAGGAGAGGAAAAAUAAUGGAAACACAUCUCAUUAUUUUAUUGUCACAUUUCUAUUUAUUUGUUGAGUAUUUCCCCUUUGUUGCCACUACAGUUAUGUUUGUCUAUUUUUUCUGCCUGUAGGAUAAAAGUAUAAUACUGAAUCUUUUUGGUAUGGUUCUAUUAGGAUUAUACUUCAGGUUAAUUUAACAUCCUUUUUCAGUGUUCAGAUAAUUAAUGGAGAAAAACAUUAAAAUUGUUUCUUGUUUAAAUUUAACUCUAACAUAGAUGAAAAAUGUGUUUACUGCUUUCAGUCGACCAGAUAAAAAGCAACGUAUGGUAAAUAUUGAAAACUCCAGGCAUCGAAAACAAGAGCAGAAGCACCCUCAGCCACAACCUUAUAAAAGGGAAGAGCCCGUUGACUUGUGAAGAAUUUGCUGCCUUCUUAUGAGCUUGCUGACUUGUUCUCUUGUGAAAUUUCUUGCACAUCUGAAUAUUGUGGAAGAAACAAUAAAACUACACCAUGAGGAAAACUAAAGGUCUUUAUUUAAAAUCUGGCAUUUGUAUUAAUAUAUGAUUUUAUACUUUGUGAUAUUUUUCAUACAUUUCCUCAGUAGUGAUAUUUGGUAAAUCAGUUCAGUGGUGUUUUGCUAGUUCAUAAAUUUUACCCAGUAUUUACAGGAGUAUUUACGCAGCAUCUGAAUAUUUCUACCCAGCAAUGUCUGUUUCUCUAGAAAAGAUUUAAACACAGUUGAGAAUUUCAGCUUCUGUUGAGUUUCCUUUUUAAUUUCCGUUCAUAGACAUAUAUGUGACUUCCAGUUCGACCUUCUGGCAAGUGAGUGUGGAAGAACACAGCAGUUCUCUCAUAGCUGCUUGAAAUUAGGAAAGCACUUAUUUCCUAGAAGUAAAUAAACGUUUAAAUAAAUAAAGGCUACGUUUUGCUGA